AACGAACGCUGGCGGCAGGCUUAACACAUGCAAGUCGAGCGCCCCGCAAGGGGAGCGGCAGACGGGUGAGUAACGCGUGGGAACGUACCUUUUGGUUCGGAACAACUCCGGGAAACUGGAGCUAAUACCGGAUAAGCCCUAACGGGGAAAGAUUUAUCGCCGAAAGAUCGGCCCGCGUCUGAUUAGCUAGUUGGUGAGGUAACGGCUCACCAAGGCGACGAUCAGUAGCUGGUCUGAGAGGAUGAUCAGCCACACUGGGACUGAGACACGGCCCAGACUCCUACGGGAGGCAGCAGUGGGGAAUAUUGGACAACGGGCGCAAGCCUGAUCCAGCCAUGCCGCGUGAGUGAUGAAGGCCUUAGGGUUGUAAAGCUCUUUUGUCCGGGAAGAUAAUGACUGUACCGGAAGAAUAAGCCCCGGCUAACUUCGUG
rnacentral:rRNA from 1 species